AUUGAACGCUGGCGGCAUGCCUUACACAUGCAAGUCGAACGGUAACAGGUUAAGCUGACGAGUGGCGAACGGGUGAGUAAUGUAUCGGAACGUGCCCAGUCGUGGGGGAUAACUACUCGAAAGAGUGGCUAAUACCGCAAACGACCGGAGGGUGAAAGCGGGGGACCGUAAGGCCUCGCGCGAUUGGAGCGGCCGAGAUACGAUUAGCUAGUUGGUGGGGUAAAAGCCCACCAAGGCGACGAUCUGUAGCUGGUCUGAGAGGACGACCAGCCACACUGGGACUGAGACACGGCCCAGACUCCUACGGGAGGCAGCAGUGGGGAAUUUUGGACAAUGGACGCAAGUCUGAUCCAGCCAUGCCGCGUGCGGGAAGAAGGCCUUCGGGUUGUAAACCGCUUUUGUCAGGGAAGAAACGAGUUUCUCUAAUACAGAGACUUAAUGACGGUACCUGAAGAAUAAGCACCGGCUAACUACGUGCCAGCCGCCGCCGUAACAC
rnacentral:rRNA from 1 species